rnacentral:rRNA from 1 species
UACGUAGGGUGCGAGCGUUGUCCGGAAUUACUGGGCGUAAAGAGCUCGUAGGUGGUUUGUCGCGUUGUUCGUGAAAACUCACAGCCUAACUGUGGGCGUGCGGGCGAUACGGGCAGACUGGAGUACUGCAGGGGAGACUGGAAUUCCUGGUGUAGCGGUGGAAUGCGCAGAUAUCAGGAGGAACACCGGUGGCGAAGGCGGAUCUCUGGGCCAUUACUGACGCUGAGGAGCGAAAGCGUGGGGAGCGAACAGG